rnacentral:misc_RNA from 1 species
UCCGGUUUGUCACCGGCAGUCUGGCGUGAGUCCCCAACUUAAUGCUGGCAACACGCCACGGGGGUUGCGCUCGUUGCGGGACUUAACCCAACAUCUCACGACACGAGCUGACGACAGCCAUGCAGCAUCUGUGGUGCACCCUCGAAGGUCACACGUUUCCGUGCGCUUGCAGCACCAUGUCAAGUCCAGGUAAGGUGGGGAUGACGUUACUGUACCAUAGA